GAAAAAUUAGCUCAGUCAGUUGAGCGUAGCGCUAACAACGCUAAGGUCGUGGGUUCGAUUCCCGUUUGGUCC
rnacentral:tRNA from 1 species